rnacentral:tRNA from 4 species
GCGACACUAGCUCAGUUGGUAGAGCGCAACCUUGCCAAGGUUGAGGUCACGAGUUCG